rnacentral:lncRNA from 1 species
AUCUUUGUCUUGGUCUUGUAUUUCUCUUUCCACACAGCCCCAGCCUCCCUUUCAGGAACCCAGUUCAUGUAGUUGUGGGUGGCUACAGAUGGCGCCUUGAACAUGGGACUUGAAUACGGAAAGACCAACUGAGGGAACACUGUCUUGGUGGAGCUCCACAGGAAAAGUAAGAAGAUGGUAUCAGGCACGGACAUUCACAGAGGCUGUGAUUGGCAGACAUGGCCAAGAAUUUUUGACGAGUAGUGGCCAAGGACAACUCAAUUCUAUUAUUCAGCCAAUGUGAAUUAACUGACAAGAAGCAAAUGGGACUAGUUAAAUGAAAUUCUGACAUUUGGAAAACAUUCUCUUAGUUUUAUUGUUAAGACUGCAUGGAAUCCGUCCAUUUUCAGAUUAUAUUCUGGGAAAUUCUGCCUUCAGGCUGCCAACCUUAGGUUCCUAUCCUUAUUACCCAAUAGCUUACGGAGGUCAACUAGCACCAGUGAGCUGCUGUGAGGGAAACUUCUUUAUUGGAAAUAAUAUGUAAAAUUAGUGCCCACUACAUAAUCACUUAAGAACCUGGAGAGUGGCACUGCCAUUGUGUUGUUGAAGGAGCUGACAUCUGAAGAGCGUGAAGUGUCUCUGCAAGUACAACAUGGCACUUCCUGGCACCGCUUGCCACGGUCU